AACAUAUACGUGAUCUGAUUUCAAACGGGAACCCCUGUUUAUCAAAAAAUAAAUUUUUUUUUAUUAAAAAGGGGGGCCCGGGUGGAAAAACAAGGGCUCAACUGUCUCCUCUCUCAGGGCAAUGAGUUGAUCUCCCCGUGCAGAAGCGGGGAUGAACCCAUAAGACGAGAAGACCCUAUGGAGCUUUAGAUGCAGGGACAGAUCAUGUUAAACACCUCCUGAUAAAGAACUAAACCUAACGAACCCUGUCCCAGUAUCUUUGGUUGGGGCGACCGCGAGGAAAAACAAAACCCCCGCAUGGAUUGAGGACACCCCACUUUUCCCUCUCCUCACAGCUAAGAGUUUCCACUCUAAGAAACAGAAUUUCUGACCUACAAAGAUCCGGCAAUGCCGAUCAACGGACCCAGUUACCCUAGGGAUAACAGCGCAAUCCCCUUCUAGAGCCCAUAUCGACAAGGGGGUUUACGACCUCGAUGUUGGAUCAGGACAUCCUAAUGGUGCAGCCGCUAUUAAGGGUUCGUUUGUUCAACGAUUAAAGUCCUACGUGAUCUGAGUUUCAGACCGGAGACCGGAUGAUCU
rnacentral:rRNA from 1 species